UACGUAGGGUGCGAGCGUUAUCCGGAAUUACUGGGCGUAAAGCGCGCGCAGGCGGUUUUGCAAGUCAGAUGUGAAAUCCCCGGGCUUAACCUGGGAAUGGCAUUUGGGACUGCAAGGCUUGAGUGCGGCAGAGGAGACUGGAAUUCCUGGUGUAGCAGUGAAAUGCGUAGAUAUCAGGAGGAACACCGAUGGCGAAGGCAGGUCUCUGGGCUGACACUGACGCUCAUGCACGAAAGCGUGGGGAGCAAACAGG
rnacentral:rRNA from 1 species